AAAACAUGUCUUUUUGAAUUUAAAUAUAARGUCUAAUCUGCCCACUGAUAAAUUAUUUAAUGGCCGCAGUAUUUUAACUGUGCAAAGGUAGCAUAAUAAUUAGUCUUUUAAUUGAAGGCUUGUAUGAAUGAUUGGACGAGAUAUAAACUGUCUCAUAAAAAUUUUUUUUAGAAUUUAAUUUUUUAGUUAAAAAGCUAAAAUAAAUUUAAAAGACGAGAAGACCCCAUAGAUCUUUAUACUUUUUUUUAUUAUUAUUGUUUAGUUUUUUUAUAAACUAAUAAAUAAAAGUAUUUUGUUGGGGUGACAUUGAAAUUUAAUAAACUUUCAAAAUUUAAUAACAUUAAUUUAUGAAUUUAUGAUCCUUUAUUAUUGAUUAAAAAUUUAAGUUACCUUGGGGAUAACAGCGUAAUUAUUUUGGAAAGUUCAUAUUGAUAAAAUAGAUUGCGACCUCGAUGUUGGAUUAAGAUUAAUUUUGGGUGUAGCAGUUCAAAAUAUUAAGUCUGUUCGACUUUUAAUUUCUUACGUGAUCU
rnacentral:rRNA from 1 species